rnacentral:rRNA from 1 species
UACGGAGGGUGCAAGCGUUUUUCGGAAUUACUGGGCGUAAAGCGCACGUAGGCGGCCUUGUAAGUUGGGGGUGAAAUCCCGGGGCUCAACUCCGGAACUGCCUUCAAGACUGCAAAGCUAGAGGACGCGAGAGGUUAGCGGAAUUCCGAGUGUAGAGGUGAAAUUCGUAGAUAUUCGGAAGAACACCAGUGGCGAAGGCGGCUAACUGGCGCGUUUCUGACGCUGAGGUGCGAAAGCGUGGGGAGCAAACAGG